GCGCCGGCGCACAUCAAAGGGGCGGGCCGCCCGCAGACCACGCCUCCCGGCUCUCCCGGAGGCUGUACGAGCGAGAGCGAAGCUUCCUCGGAGUCCGCUCCCAGCCACACCCCUCCUCCUCCGGUUUUGGCCACUCCGCCUUCUGGUGAAGGGACGGAGAGGAGAUGAGGAUUAGAGAGGAAAGAGGUGCAAGUUGUAUUUCCCGAGAACAUGAUAUGAACCAGGCUAGAUGGCCGCGUAUGUCACUGAAUAUUCACAACACCCAGGAGAAAUGAUUUGCCCAAGAGUUCAAACCCAGGGACACCUGACUCCAUUGGGUCCCAAAAGGAGUGUGGGCGUGAGCAUGGAACUUGAACAAGAAAAGGAGCUUCACAAAAGAAUGUUAAGGCCUGUUGCAGUGGUGCACACCUAUAAUCCCAGCGGCUCUGGAGGCUGAGGCAAGAGGAUGGCGAGU